UACGGAGGGGGCUAGCGUUGUUCGGAAUUACUGGGCGUAAAGCGCACGUAGGCGGCUUUGCAAGUCAGAGGUGAAAGCCCGGGGCUCAACUCCGGAAUUGCCUUUAAAACUGCAUCGCUAGAAUUGUGGAGAGGUAAGUGGAAUUCCGAGUGUAGAGGUGAAAUUCGUAGAUAUUCGGAAGAACACCAGUGGCGAAGGCGAGUCUCUGGACAUUUCCUGACGCUGAGGCACGAAAGCCAGGGGAGCAAACGGG
rnacentral:rRNA from 1 species